rnacentral:rRNA from 1 species
CACCACACGACUCUCGGCAACGGAUAUCUCGGCUCUCGCAUCAAUGAAGAACGUAGCGAAAUGCGAUACGUGGUGUGAAUUAGAGAAUCCCGCGAACCAUCAAAUCUUUGAACACAAGUUGCGUCCGAAGCCAUCCAGCCGAGGGCACGCCUGCUUGGGCAUCACGCACCCAGUCGCUCUACGCC